rnacentral:guide_RNA from 1 species
AAAACAUAAACGGAAUAGAUGUAGAAGUAUAUAUAUAU